CGAAAACGAAUUCUCUCUUGAGUGGAUCCUGAGUACGACGGAGCACGUGAAAUUCCGUCGGAAUCUGGGAGGACCAUCUCCUAAGGCUAAAUACUCUCUAGUGACCGAUAGUGAACCAGUACCGUGAGGGAAAGGUGAAAAGUACCCCGGAAGGGGAGUGAAAGAGAACUUGAAACCGUGUGCUUACAAGUAGUCAGAGCCCGUUAAUGGGUGAUGGCGUGCCUUUUGUAGAAUGAACCGGCGAGUUACGAUCUGAUGCAAGGUUAAGCAGAAAAUGUGGAGCCGUAGCGAAAGCGAGUCUGAAUAGGGCGAAUGAGUAUUUGGUCGUAGACCCGAAACCAGGUGAUCUACCCUUGGUCAGGUUGAAGUUCAGGUAACACUGAAUGGAGGACCGAACCGACUUACGUUGAAAAGUGAGCGGAUGAACUGAGGGUAGCGGAGAAAUUCCAAUCGAACUUGGAGAUAGCUGGUUCUCUCCGAAAUAGCUUUAGGGCUAGCCUCAAGUGAUGAUUAUUGGAGGUAGAGCACUGUUUGGACGAGGGGCCCCUCUCGGGUUACCGAAUUCAGACAAACUCCGAAUGCCAAAUAAUUUAACUUGGGAGUCAGAAUGUGGGUGAUAAGGUCCAUAUUCGAAAGGGAAACAGCCCAGACCACCAGCUAAGGUCCCAAAAUAUAUGUUAAGUGGAAAAGGAUGUGGCGUUGCCCAGACAACUAGGAUGUUGGCUUAGAAGCAGCCAUCAUUUAAAGAGUGCGUAAUAGCUCACUAGUCGAGUGACACUGCGCCGAAAAUGUACCGGGGCUAAACAUAUUACCGAAGCUGUGGAUUGUC
rnacentral:rRNA from 1 species